CUGGGAAAGGUUUUCAACAUUUGAUUGCCUGGCUGCUCUGUCAGUGAUAGAACAUAGAGUUUAAGGUAGAAACUAGGUCUAACCACAGGUCAAGCCAGGGUGUCUAGUGUCACAUUAUGAAUAAACAUUAAUAUUUACCAAUAGCUAAUAUUUUGAUCUCCCAUCUGAACCCUGUAUCUAUGUAUCUAUUUUUCAUAGCUUGUAGCAGUGAGGGACAUGUUAAGUUAUCAUUCUUAAACCAAAGCAAUUCCUUCUGAAGCAUCAGAGGUUAUGGUCUGAUAUUCACUUUGCUUUGUCUGGAGCUUCUGCUCUGAGAGUUCUGGAGAGAGAUUUAUCCAUAUUUGAACUGAUUUGGGGGGUAGCAGGGAAACCUCCAAGGCUGAGAGGUGGCUCCUGACUAGCAGCAGAAUGAGCAGAGAGGCAAAGCAAAGAGGCUUCCGAGAUCCAGGCCAAAGGAAAUAAAGAAUGGAGGUGCAGCCCAGAGGAGGAACAGGCAAAGGAACACUUGAGAAAAAUUAGCAGGAGGACAGAACAGAACUGCGGGCCUGGAGGAUCAUGGGAGACAGAAUGAAAGGAAGCAGAUACAAGAAUCUAGAGCCCAGAGGAAUGGCCAGACCCCCUGAAGCAUCGGUACUUUGUGACAUCUGCCCAGCAGAAAUUCUUCCAGUGGUUACAUCCAAUUCAUUUGGUUCACAUCUGGACUAAAAUGUCCAGCCAACUUUGCAAUUUAAUCUAAUCACACAACUGAAUUCCAUCCAUUGCAUAUGAAUGAAAAUGAUAGAUGCUGUUCCAGGCCUGGCCCAUAAAAAUCUCUUGUGCCUGAUCCUUCAUGCUUUUUCAUCUUUUUCUGGCUUGUUACAAACAAAUACAGCAACUCAAAACUAUCAGUUGAAGACAGCAGAACCGCACAAUGGAAAGAGCAUAAAUGGCCACUUUGAGGAGUGCUGUCAACUGCUCACAAACACGCAGUUCGGACUUGCUAAGAAAACAAAUGUCUAUCAUGCUUAAUCAGUACAUAUUUCUGAAUUUGUUUGUCAUAGCAGCAAGCAUUAUCCUAAUAAAAUAAUUAUUUAAUGUAUAAGUGCCAUUUAAAACAUGAGGUUAUAUGACAUCUCUUAGGGAAUGGGUUUACCUAGAGAAUAGAAGUGGUUUGAAGCCUAAUUCUUGAGAUACUUCAACAUUUAAAAAUCAAAAAAAAGAGGAAAAUAAAGCAAAGGAGUCUGAGAAGGAGCAUCUAGGUGAGCAGGAGAAAAAACAAGGGGGCUGUAAUGUUCUAGAACUAAUGUGAAGAAAAGAUUAAAGAAGAAAUGACAGUUUGCUUCCUGUCGACCAAGAGUUUUUGACUGUGGUAGGCAUUCCCCAAGAUGCCCCCAGUGAUUCCUGCCUACUGGUAUUCACUUCUAAUGAAUAGAUUGUGGCAGAAGUGACAGAAUGUUAUAAAAAUUUGCAGCCAUUACAUUUGGGGCAUAAUUAGUUAUGCAGCAAUAGAUAAUUAAUGCAUCAACCAAUAUACUUGAUGAAUACAGAUAUAAUCAGUCCCCUUAAAUAUGCCUAAGUAGUAGACAGCAUAAGAAUAUCCUAUUCUUAUUUAUACCUCAUCCAAAUAUCAUUUCAUACAUAAAAAAUCUGAGACUUCUAAAAGCAAGACAAUGUGGCCAAAGACUUCCAGCUAGCAAGGGCAAGCCAUGGGGUCGAACGACAUUAUUUCUAAGUGCAAGAUGUGUUUGGAGAGACUAUGAGUGAAACUUUAUGGCUUGUGAGGGUUCAUAACUGAAGUAGUAGGAGAAAUAUCUGAAAAAGUAAGUUGGAAUCAGAUUGAGGAAGGCCACUUUGGAUAUGAGGCUAAGGAGUUGGUAGUAAAUCUUCAAUAAUAGGAAUAAAGAUUUUUUUAGUAAAGGGAAAAAUAUGGUGGAAGUGUUAUUUUGGAAAUUUUAUUGGGUGUCUGUUUUCUAUAGGAAGAGUCUGGAGUGGGA